GACGAACGCUGGCGGCGUGCUUAACACAUGCAAGUCGAACGGAAAGGCCCUGCUUUUGUGGGGUGCUCGAGUGGCGAACGGGUGAGUAACACGUGAGCAACCUGCCCUUGACUUUGGGAUAACUUCAGGAAACUGGGGCUAAUACCGGAUAGGAGCUCCUGCUGCAUGGUGGGGGUUGGAAAGUUUCGGCGGUUGGGGAUGGACUCGCGGCUUAUCAGCUUGUUGGUGGGGUAGUGGCUUACCAAGGCUUUGACGGGUAGCCGGCCUGAGAGGGUGACCGGCCACAUUGGGACCGAGAUACGGCCCAGACUCCUACGGGAGGCAGCAGUGGGGAAUAUUGCACAAUGGGCGGAAGCCUGAUGCAGCAACGCCGCGUGCGGGAUGACGGCCUUCGGGUUGUAAACCGCUUUCGCCUGUGACGAAGCGUGAGUGACGGUAAUGGGUAAAGAAGCACCGGCUAACUACGUG
rnacentral:rRNA from 1 species